rnacentral:sRNA from 1 species
AGCAGCCGCGGUAAUUCCAGCUCCAAUAGCGUAUAUUAAAGUUGUUGCAGUUAAAAAGCUCGUAGUUGAAUUUCGGGGUUCUACCGUUGGUCGGGCUAUAGUCUGUACUGGCGCGUGGAAUUUCUACCUUCUGGGGAACUAUCAUGUUAUUAAUUUAGCGUGGUAGGAAACCAGAACCUUUACCUUGAAAAAAUUAGAGUGUUCAAAGCAGGCUUACGUCUGAAUACAUUAGCAUGGAAUAAUAAAAUAGGACGGUGGUCCUGUUUUGUUGGUUUCUGAAUCACCGUAAUGAUUAAUAGGGAUAGUUGGGGGCAUUAGUAUUCAAUUGUCAGAGGU